UAAUUUAAAAGGCCACUCUGAAAUGUGCAGUUUUAUCACACAGCACAAUGCCACAGAUGUUGCAAGUUUUGAGGGAGCGUGCAGUUGGCAUGCUGACUGCUGGAAUGUUGACGGGAGCUGUUGUCCUUAAAUUGAAUGUUAAUUUAUCUUCCAAAAGUCGUCUCGAAAUGUGAUUCAGAGCAUUUGGCAGUACAUCCAACCGGCCUCACAACUGCAGACCACCUGUAACAACACCAGCCCAGGACCUCCACAUCCGGGAGGUGCACCUCCAUUAUCAUCUGAGACCAGCCAUCCUGACAGCUGCUGCAACAAGUGGGUCUCGACCUGACUGCAGUUUGUCAUCGUAACUGACUUAAGUGGGCAAAUGCUCACAUUUGAUGGUGUGUGGCACAUUGGAGAUGUGUUCUCUUCACGGAGGAAUCCUGGUCUUCACUGUACUGGGCAGAUGACAGAGAGCGCCAUGUGGGAAAACGGUUGGCUGAUGUCAACGUUGUGAAUCGAGUGGCCCAAAGAGGGUUUGGGGUUAUGAGAUACCGUGUUGAGAUCCUGAAGCCCAAUGUUGUGCCAUUCACCCAAGACCACCGCCUCAUGUUGCAGCAUAACAAUGCACGGCCCCAUGUUACAAGAAUCUGUACACACUUCCCGGGAGCUGUAAACAUCUUAGUUCUUGCAUGGCCAGCAUACUCACUGGACAUGUCACCCAUUGAGCAUGUUUGGGAUGCUGGGAAUCAGCGUGUUACAGUUCCUGCCAAUAUCCAGCAACUUCCCACAGCCAUUGAAGAGGAGUGGACCAACUUUCCACAGGCCACAAUCAAUAACCUGAUCAACUCUAUGCAAAGGAGAUGUGUUGCACUGCGUGAGGAAAAUGGUGGUCACACCAGAUACUCACUGCUUUUCUGACCCCCCCA